UAUUUUAUAGUUUAAUUAAAAUAUUAAAUUGCAAAUUUAAAGAAAUUUUCAGUAAAAAAAUUAAAAUAU
rnacentral:tRNA from 1 species